rnacentral:rRNA from 1 species
UACGUAGGUGGCAAGCGUUAUCCGGAAUUACUGGGCGUAAAGCGCACGCAGGCGGCUAGUCAAGUUCGACGUGAAAGCUCCCGGCUUAACUGGGAGAGGUCGUUGAAAACUGGUUAGCUUGAGGCAAUGAGAGGGGUGUAGAAUUCCCGGUGUAGUGGUGGAAUGCGUAGAUAUCGGGAGGAAUACCAGUGGCGAAAGCGGCACCCUAGCAUUAGCCUGACGCUCAGGUGCGAAAGCGUGGGGAGCGAAC